AUUGAACGCUGGCGGCAUGCCUUACACAUGCAAGUCGAACGGUAAAGGGCCUUCGGGUGCCGACGAGUGGCGAACGGGUGAGUAAUACAUCGGAACGUGCCCGAUCGUGGGGGAUAACGAGGCGAAAGCUUUGCUAAUAACGCAUACGAUCUACGCAUGAAAUCAGGGGACCGCAAGGCCUUGCGCGGACGGAGCGGCCGAUGGGAGAUUAGGUAGUUGGUGGGAUAAAAGCUUACCAAGCCGACGAUCUGUAGCUGGUCUGAGAGGAUGAUCAGCCACACUGGGACUGAGACACGGCCCAGACUCCUACGGGAGGCAGCAGUGGGGAAUUUUGGACAAUGGGCGCAAGCCUGAUCCAGCCAUGCCGCGUGCAGGAUGAAGGCCUUCGGGUUGUAAACUGCUUUUGUACGGAACGAAAAGCCUUCUUUUAAUACAGGAGGGUCAUGACGGUACCGUAAGAAUAAGCACCGGCUAACUACGUG
rnacentral:rRNA from 1 species